UACGUAGGGUGCGAGCGUUGUCCGGAAUUAUUGGGCGUAAAGAGCUUGUAGGUGGUUUGUCGCGUCUGCUGUGAAAAUCCGAGGCUCAACCUCGGACUUGCAGUGGGUACGGGCAGACUAGAGUGUGGUAGGGGAGACUGGAAUUCCUGGUGUAGCGGUGGAAUGCGCAGAUAUCAGGAGGAACUCCGAUGGCGAAGGCAGGUCUCUGGGCCAUUACUGACACUGAGAAGCGAAAGCAUGGGGAGCGAACAGG
rnacentral:rRNA from 1 species